rnacentral:rRNA from 1 species
AUUGAACGCUGGCGGCAGGCCUAACACAUGCAAGUCGAGCGAGCGGCGGACGGGUGAGUAAUGUCUGGGAAACUGCCUGAUGGAGGGGGAUAACUACUGGAAACGGUAGCUAAUACCGCAUACCAUCAGAUGUGCCCAGAUGGGAUUGGCUAGUGGGUGGGGUAACGGCUCACCUAGGCGACAAUCCCUAGCUGGUAUGCGAGGAUGACCAGCCACAAUGGAACUGAGACACGGUCCAGACUCCAACGGAAGGCAGCAUAGGGGAAUAUUGCCAAAUGGGCGCAAGCCUUAUGCAGCCAUGCCGGGUGUGUGAAGAAGGCCUUCGGGUUGAAAAGCACUUUCAGCGUGGAGGCGUUACCCGAAGAAGAAGCACCGGCUAACUCCGUGCCAGCAGCCGCGGUAAUUC